rnacentral:sRNA from 1 species
AUGUACCCACGUACACUCCGGUUCCUCCGCGCCGUCUGCACCCACCUGACGACUGCUCGCUACGUUUUGUUAGCC